rnacentral:rRNA from 1 species
AAUGAACGCUGGCGGCAGGCCUAACACAUGCAAGUGGAGCGACGAACCCGGACUUGUCCGGGGGCAAAGCCGCGAACGGGUGAGUAACACGUGGAUUAUCUGCCCCAAUGACCGGGACAACUCGAGGAAACUCGAGCUAAUACCGGAUGUGCUCUUCGGAGGAAAGGAAGCUUCGGCCUCCGCAUUGGGAUGAGUCCGCGGUGCAUUAGCUAGUUGGUGGGGUAAAAGCCUACCAAGGCGACGAUGCAUAGCUGGUCUGAGAGGACGAUCAGCCACACUGGAACUGAGACACGGUCCAGACUCCUACGGGAGGCAGCAGUGGGGAAUCUUGCGCAAUGCACGAAAGUGUGACGCAGCAACGCCGCGUGCGGGAAGAAGGUCUUCGGAUCGUAAACCGCUUUCAGUUGGGACGAGGGUUACACGGUGAAUAGCCGGCGUAACUGACGGUACCUUCAGAAGAAGCCCCGGCUAACUACGUGCCAGCCGCCGCGGUAA